rnacentral:tRNA from 1 species
GCGGUCGUGGCGGAAUUGGCAGACGCGCCAGAUUCAGGUUCUGGUGGUAGCAAUACCGUGGAGGUUCAAGUCCUCUCGACCGCACCA